rnacentral:lncRNA from 1 species
UAAUAGUUUGCAUAUGUAUUCAAAUGUUCUUACAUGUUCUUAGCUAGGACAAAAUUUUUCCGUCAAAAUAUAUAUUUAAAUUUAGGAAUAUGAUUAACUCCCACUAAUCUUUUGUAAACCUAGUAAACAAAAGAUUCAUUUACAUCUUUAUGAGAAAUCAAACAAUUUGAACUUUCUCUCAUAAGAUGCAUAUAGCUCCCACUAGCUUGCUAAGAUUCAUGAUGGAUGGAUCUCUACAACUUACAUGUCUUGUGAUUUAUAGUUUUAGACAUAUCUUAUCAAGACUAUCUUAAUAAUGGUUUCGGAAACCCAUAUUAUGUCCAAACAUUGAAUCACCAUUUAGUUGUAGCUAGCUAUCUUCGAAUUAAUUGAAACCAAGACUACGUCAAAAAUGGUUUCUUCAAAGUCAACCAUCCUUUUGAUUGUAGUUACCUUAAGCUACCAUUUAGCUUAUGAAGGUUUCAUUAUUUCGGGUCAAAUGGUACUUUACCAUUUCCUUGAGUAUAUAUCAUAUAUGCACUCAAUGUAGUCAUAAGGAUUUUCAUUCUUAUUUCUUUCGAAUUAAGAGGUGUAACUCUAUGACAUAGUCAUAAAGUUCAACCAUUCAACUGAGACGGUUUAUAAAUCCUUCUCGACUACCUUGGAGCUUGUGGUAUAGGAACUAGGUUGUUAUAUUUGUUGAUCACUAUCUUGUUUCUUAAAGAACCAUUCUUUGAGUUUUAUCCCUCGUUCAUUUGCUCUUAGGCAAAUCACAUUGUAGGAUUACAAUGAACUACCCAACAAAACAACAUUUGUUAAUUGGUUUAUAGAAGCGAUAUCCAAAAGUUAAUUUAAGGAUAUCCCACACGAUUGUUAUCAAACCAAUAUUGCUUAUUAGCACACAACCCCAAAUCUUAACAUGCUUAAGAUUUGUCUUUCUUUCCAACUACAUCUUAUGGAGUCAUGAAAAAUUUGGAAGAUCUUCUAAAUGACAAUCAUAUUGUUUUUAGAAGUAUAUAUCCUAUAUAUGGGUAAUAGAUAACAUCUAACGAACUAAAUUUUAUUCGAGUUCGUUCUUCUCCUUAAUGGAGAAAUUUAUUAUCUUAUGAUGCUUCUUUCC